rnacentral:rRNA from 1 species
AACGAACGCUGGCGGCGUGCUUAACACAUGCAAGUCGAACGCGAACGGGUUCUUCGGGACCUUAGUAGAGUGGCGCACGGGUGAGUAACGCGUAAGUUAUCUACCUCGGCAUUUGGAAUAACUCACCGCAAGGUGUGCUACUACCGGAUACGUUGAGUAAUCAAGAAAGGUGGCCUCUGAAUAUGCUACCGUGCUGAGAUGCGCUUGCGUACCAUUAGCUAGUUGGUGGGGUAAUGGCCUACCAAGGCGACGAUGGUUAGCGGGUCUGAGAGGAUGAUCCGCCACACUGGAACUGGAACACGGACCAGACUCCUACGGGAGGCAGCAGUGAGGAAUAUUGCGCAAUGGGGGCAACCCUGACGCAGCGACGCCGCGUGGAUGAUGAAGGCCUUCGGGUCGUAAAAUCCUGUCAGGUGGAAAGAAAUGUAUAUGUGCUAAUACCAUGUAUACUUGACGGUACCACCGAAGGAAGCACCGGCUAACUCCGUGCCAGCCGCCGCAGUAAAAC